CAUCCGCGUGCGGCAGCUUACCAUGCAGUCGAGGGGCAGCGAGGGUAGCAAUACCUGUCGGCGACCGGCGCAAGGGUGCGUAACGCGUGAGCAACAUGCCCGUAUCAGGGGGAUAAUCCAGGGAAACUUGGUCUAAUACCCCAUAGUAAUUUGUUAUGGCAUCAUAAUAGAUUUAAAGCUUUGGUGGAUACGGAUUGGCUCGCGUGACAUUAGCUAGAUGGUAAGGUAACGGCUUACCAUGGCUACGAUGUCUAGGGGUUCUGAGAGGAAGGUCCCCCACACUGGAACUGAGACACGGUCCAGACUCCUACGGGAGGCAGCAGUGAGGAAUAUUGGACAAUGGAUGGAAAUCUGAUCCAGCCAUGCCGCGUGCAGGAAGACGGCCCUAUGGGUUGUAAACUGCUUUUGUAUGGGAGCAAUAAGCUAUUUGCGAAUAGUGAUGAGAGUACCAUACGAAUAAGCAUCGGCUAACUCCGUGCCAGCAGCCGCGGUAAUACGGAGGAUGCAAGCGUUAUCCGGAUUUAUUGGGUUUAAAGGGUGCGUAGGCGGUUCGGUAAGUCAGUGGUGAAAGUUUACUGCUUAACAGUAAAAAUGCCAUUGAUACUGUCGGGCUAGAAUAUGGUUGCUGUGGGUGGAAUGUGUGGUGUAGCGGUGAAAUGCUUAGAUAUCACACAGAAUAUCGAUUGCGAAGGCAGCUCACAAAGCCAUUAUUGACGCUGAGGCACGAAAGUGUGGGGAUCAAACAGGAUUAGAUACCCUGGUAGUCCACACUGUAAACGAUGAUAACUCGCUGUCGGCGAUACACAGUCGGUGGCCAAGC
rnacentral:rRNA from 1 species